AUUUGAAAUCUGGCGCAAGCCCGAGUUGUAAUUUGUAGAGGAUGCUUCUGGGUAGCGGCCGGUCUAAGUUCCUUGGAACAGGACGUCAUAGAGGGUGAGAAUCCCGUAUGUGACUGGCUUGCACCCUCCACGUAGCUCCUUCGACGAGUCGAGUUGUUUGGGAAUGCAGCUCUAAAUGGGAGGUAAAUUUCUUCUAAAGCUAAAUACCGGCCAGAGACCGAUAGCGCACAAGUAGAGUGAUCGAAAGAUGAAAAGCACUUUGGAAAGAGAGUUAAAAAGCACGUGAAAUUGUUGAAAGGGAAGCGCCCGCAACCAGACUUUGCGGCAGUGUUCGGCCGGUCUUCUGACCGGUUUACUCGCUGUCGUGAGGCCAUCAUCGUCUGGGACCGCUGGAUAAGACCUUAGGAAUGUGGCUCCCCUCGGGGAGUGUUAUAGCCUCUGGUGAUGCAGCGCGUCUCGGGCGAGGUCCGCGCUUCGGCAAGGAUGAUGGCGUAAUGGUUGUCGGCGGCCCGUCUUGAAACACGGACCAAGGAGUCUAACAUCUAUGCGAGUGUUCGGGUGUCAAACCCCUACGCGUAAUGAAAGUGAACGGAGGUGAGGAACUUUUUGUGCACCAUCGACCGAUCCUGAUGUCCUCGGAUGGAUUUGAGUAAGAGCAUAGCUGUUGGGACCCGAAAGAUGGUGAACUAUGCCUGAAUAGGGUGAAGCCAGAGUAACUCUGGUGGAGGCUCGCAGCUGUCUGACGUGCAAUCGAUCGUCAAAUUUGGUAUAGGGGCGAAGACUCAUCGACAUCUAGUAGCUGUACGCUGCCGCAGUUUCCCUCAGGAUAGCACUAACGUCUUCAAUAUUGAG
rnacentral:rRNA from 1 species